rnacentral:lncRNA from 1 species
CUCGGCGUCUCCCGGCUGGUCUGAGUCUGAGGCACUUGUGCAGAGCGGGAGGGCAGCUGCGCGCGUCGCCUCCCAGGCCCUCUGUCCGCCACGCCCCCGACGUGCCCGGCCGAAGUCAGGUUCUAAAUCCCUCGGGAGGAAUCCGAAACUCGGGUAGAGGCGCUCUCGACAUUUUCAUGGCCAUGCGGUUGGUGCGGCCGAAACUGGAGAGCUCAUAGGACUGUAGAUCUUAACAUCCCUAUGAGGGAGAGGACAAAGGAAACCACUCUGUCUAAGAAAAGCAGACACUAAGAUGCAGCACAGAAGAGUGAGUGGCCUGUGGUAAGGUUGUCAAUGCUGUUCCAUUAUUGUGCCAGAUAACUUGGACUCUAAACUAAAAAGGACAUGAAAACAUUAUCAUUUGUAGCCAGAUUAAAUCUAAAUUUAAAUUAUCUUCUAAAAUUGCUUCUCUUAAAAAGAGCUCAGAAAUGAACAAUGUGUAUC